UUGGAUUCCUCUGGCAGCAGAGUGGAGGGACAGGGAAGGAGGAGGCCAGGCCUGAAGUCAUAGCAAGAGCCCUGCAAGGAGACAGUGAUGCCCUGAACCAACCUGUAAAUACAGGGAUGGAGAAGGAACAUUGCUGAGGCAGUCUAGGCAAGAUUUAGUGAAAGAUUAAAUGUUGGCAGGUAAGGAGAGAGGGAGAAUUUAAGAACUAACCCAGAAUUUCUGGCUUAGCUACCAGCUAGAAAGCGAUGCCUCUGACUGUGAUUACAAACACUGAAGUCUGAGCAAGUUUCAGUGAUGGGAAUAAUGAAUUCUGCUUGGGAUGCAUGCCAUAAGAGCUGUCUGCAGGACACGCAGGGAAGACUGUGCAUGAAAGGCAGAGAUACAACUUACAGCACUGCCUCGUGGCCUCUGUGACUGAAUCAGAUGUUGAAUCACUGCGGAAAUACCCCAGGUAUGUUAUAGUUUGAACGAAGCCACUCACGUAUCCAUCUAAUUUCCGGAAGAUCUUGAUUGUGAAGGACUGUUUGUAGAUCCCAUCAGAGGAGCCCAGGUAAAUGAACAGUGACUGAUUCAAUUAACUGAUAAGAAUCUAUUAGCACGGAUCCAAACCAUCUUGUUUGAACACAGAGCAUUAUGUACAAAGAACAACCAGGGUGGCUGUCAUUUCGUCUUGGUGAAAUAUAUGGAGCCUGGGUGUGUCACAGCCCAGAAGGUGGCGACAUACACAUUUAAGGGACAAUUAGUUUUUUAAAAAAAUUUUUUUUUUUCAACGUUUAUUUAUUUUUGGGACAGAGACAGACAGAGCAUGAACGGGGGAGGGGCAGAGAGAGAGGGAGACACAGAAUCGGAAACAGGCUCCAGGCUCUGAGCCAUCAGCCCAGAGCCUGACGCGGGGCUGAAACUCACGGACUGCGAGAUCGUGACCUGGCUGAAGUCAGACGCUUAACCGACUGCGCCACCCAGGCGCCCCGGGACAAUUAGUUUUUAAACGCCAAAGCCCCCCCCCCCCCGUCCCAGCACAGGUAGUAGUUAGUGAGAAAUUCCUCUAAUUGGAUGGUUUUAAGAGCAGAACCCACCUUUUCUGUGGCCAGCAGGCAUUCCCCUUUGAAGGGGUCAGGGCACGAAGGGUCUGUGUAGUUUCUUUUGCUGGUGAGUACGGUGGGCAGAGCACAGGCAUGGCAGCUGGAGGACUUACUUUG
rnacentral:lncRNA from 1 species